rnacentral:rRNA from 1 species
GAUGAACGCUAGCGACAGGCCUAACACAUGCAAGUCGAGGGGCAGCAUGAAAUUAGCUUGCUAAUUUUGAUGGCGACCGGCGCACGGGUGAGUAACACGUAUGCAACCUGCCUGUAAGCGGGGGAUAACCCGGAGAAAUUCGGACUAAUACCGCAUAAUAUCAUUAAUUCGCAUGUUUUAAUGAUUAAAAAUUUAUUGCUUACAGAUGGGCAUGCGUAUGAUUAGCUAGUUGGUGGGGUAGAGGCCUACCAAGGCGACGAUCAGUAGCCGGCCUGAGAGGGUGACCGGCCACAUUGGGACUGAGACACGGCCCAGACUCCUACGGGAGGCAGCAGUGGGGGGAUAUUGCGCAAUGGGGGGAAACCCUGACGCAGCAAUGCCGCGUGAAGGAAGAAGGUCUUCGGAUCGUAAACUUUGUCUUCAGGGACGGAUAAUGACGGUACCUGAGGAGGAAGCCACGCGUAACUACGUG